GCUUCUGGUAAUCCUUCUUGGAGUCCUGGAUGGUCGGUGAAGCGGUUAUCCUGGGAAACCGGAUGGAGCCACAACGAUUUUGGUUUCCUUCCUGCAGUCCUGAAAGUUCGUUGAAGGGAUUAUCCUGAAAGUCGGAUGGACCAACAACGCUGCUUUUGGUUUUUCUUUUGGAGUCUUGGAUAUUCGAUGAAGCAGCUUUCCUGGAAGUGAAAGGGUGAAUCGAUUGGGGCCCCAACGUUUGACUUCACCAUCAUAUGGAGCUGCUGCAGCGGAACCUCUUUCACCAUCCAUGACGGGACCCUGGACUUCUAAUCGGGGGUGUCGGUCGGGAGUGUUCCGGAGCGUCCAGAUUCGAAUCUGGAGGUCUCCAAUACACGGGAUUUCGGAAUUUCCGAGAUCCUGGGUCUUGGAAA